AUUGAACGCUGGCGGCAGGCCUAACACAUGCAAGUCGAGCGGAUGAAGGGAGCUUGCUCCUGGAUUCAGCGGCGGACGGGUGAGUAAUGCCUAGGAAUCUGCCUGGUAGUGGGGGAUAACGUCCGGAAACGGGCGCUAAUACCGCAUACGUCCUGAGGGAGAAAGUGGGGGAUCUUCGGACCUCACGCUAUCAGAUGAGCCUAGGUCGGAUUAGCUAGUUGGUGGGGUAAAGGCCUACCAAGGCGACGAUCCGUAACUGGUCUGAGAGGAUGAUCAGUCACACUGGAACUGAGACACGGUCCAGACUCCUACGGGAGGCAGCAGUGGGGAAUAUUGGACAAUGGGCGAAGUCCUGAUCCAGCCAUGCCGCGUGUGUGAAGAAGGUCUUCGGAUUGUAAAGCACUUUAAGUUGGGAGGAAGGGCAGUAAGUUAAUACCUUGCUGUUUUGACGUUACCAACAGAAUAAGCACCGGCUAACUUCGUG
rnacentral:rRNA from 1 species